rnacentral:lncRNA from 1 species
UCUCAGACAGGAAAUACCGAUAUUCUAUCUUUGGAGUUGAACUGCCUCGGAGUCGACUCGGACUUUGCGGGAGUCGACUCGGCUCUCAGACACCGAAGUACCGGUCUUCUGUCUUUGGAGUUGAACUGCCCUGGAGUCGACUCAAACUUUGCGGGAGUCGACUCAGCUCUCAGAUACCAAAGUUGGCUCUCUGACUUUUAGCUUUGCAUUUCUCUG